rnacentral:tRNA from 1 species
GCAAUGAUGGUUCAAUGGUGGAGUUCUUGCCUUCCGUGUGAGAGACCCGGGUUCGAUUCCCAGCCAGGGCA